AGGACGAACGCUGGCGGCGUGCUUAACACAUGCAAGUCGAGCGGAAAGGCCCUUCGGGGUACUCGAGCGGCGGACGGGUGAGUAACACGUGAGUAACCUGCCCCUAGCUCUGGGAUAGCUCCGGGAAACCGGGAUUAAUACCAGAUACGACCACUUUAGACAUCUGUCGUGGUGGAAAGGAUUCCGGCUAGGGAUGGGCUCGCGGCCUAUCAGCUUGUUGGUGGGGUAACGGCCUACCAAGGCGACGACGGGUA
rnacentral:rRNA from 1 species